GUCCAAAUCGAAUCGGUACAAAGGAAAAAAAUAAACGCAGCCAUGCUCUGCCUCACGGCGCUCCGCCCCGCGCCACACACCUCCGGCCAUGCCCCGCGCGCCGCCGGCGCCUCCCGCCCCGCCCCGCACGGCCUCACCGCGUGACGUCGACCGCCUCCUUCCUCUCCCAAUCCCAUCUCCUCCUCACCCACGGCUUUCUUCGCCGUUCACUGCUCCCCUCGUUGCGACCUCGCGGGAGGCAGAGGAUGGGAGGGUGCGGCGCUCGCGGGCCCAUCUGCGCCGCCAGGACUCGCCCGACCCGCGGGACGCUCGAUCCGGUGACGCACCAGUCGCCGGUCGUCGGCCCGGCCGACCGACGACGGAGAUCGCAACACCCUGCACUAUUAUUCUGCCUCAGCUCAUCCUUCCUCGAUGUGUGCUGCCUGGGAGGGCGCGCGCUCGCCGCUCGACCAGAGCCACACGGCCAUCCGGUCGUCGUUGCACUCGCCGCCCCCUCUGCUCCUCCACCUCAACUUCGGACACGUGUAUUUCUGUGCCCACCCCAUGCUACCAGAGGAAACCGUGUGCCAGUCUCUCUGGAUGACUUUUAUUUUCUGCUGAGGAUCACGAGUUUGCACAGUUUCAUGAUGUCAAAUUACUGCAUAUGUGAUGCUUCUUGUCAAUAGGGAUAGAAUUAGCUGGUCAUAGGUUGUGGAUGUUCUUAGUUAUUUUUUGCACACAAGGUGUUUGGGUGUUUGUCCGAGCCCGUUUCAGUCACAGAUCCUCCCACAUGAAUACAUCAUGAGAAUAACUCUCCUUCCAUAUGAUUCAAAAAAUGGUAUGAUGGUGGAACUCAAUCGGGUUGCUAGACUAAUGUGGCGUUGGUGCGUGCAUCUGGAUGUACGUCAGUGUUCACAGCCAGAGGAAGUGGGUUGUUACAGGCAGAGGCGGAUUAGGAUGAGUAUGUCACGAUUAGGAGAGUUCUCUUGAUCUUUAUCGGAAAAAUUGAUAGUUUCCUUGAUUUGUUUUGGUCUAGAUUAGCAAAGCAGUGCACUGAUAUUUGUUCUGUGGUGUAGGAGCUUCAAGACAGCAGGGGCAGCAGGCUUCGCUCAACAUAUUCAUCUAUGAUUUUUUUCCCUGAUUUUGAAAUUAUUUGGCCCCUAUAGUCCCCUUGAGAAAAAUCAGAGUAUUUAUGGACUAUGCUCUACUGGUUGACAAAUUUGAUUGCAGGGGCUGGCAAAGUAAGUGCAGUGUCACCGUUGCACAUAUAUUCAGGGCCACAUCAAAUUUCAGUCAGAAGAACAUGACCAGGCAGGGUGCUUCAUGCAGUAUUGGGAGUGAGAAAGUUUGAUGUAUAAUCAGUGUCGCCUCCACUCUGCCCCGCCCCUGUGCUUUUUCCUUGAUGGAAAUGCGGGCCACCAUGCCGCUCACUUCGCGUGCAACCACUUCAUCUCCAACCUGUCGUUGGAGAGCAUUGCAGACCGAGCGGACAAAUGACGAGGUGUAGCAGCACAACCUUGCCUCUUCCCCUUACUAUCCUUCACAAGCGAGCCAAAGACACCCCAAGUUGUGGCACCCGUCUGAGGCCAGCCUUGCUUGGCAUACAUGGCUGCAUACAUGUGAUGGGAAACAUGCAUGGAAGCUUGGGCCUGGAUAUGCAAUUAUGCCUUCCUAAGUUUUACUGAUGCAAUUUCUUUUUGAAAGAGCCCUGAAAUCAUUUACCCUUUUGCUCCUGAGAAUUGUUUGCCAUUGUGAAUUGUAUCAAUGGUCGAAAUGGUCAAUUAACGACAUAGACCGAGAUACCAUAAAACCCCUUCAGUAGAUCGACUGAAAUAUGAACAUUCUUGGCCCAAAGUUACAGGAUUGCACCAAUUAAUUGCUAACCUCUUAGUUUUAAUGAUAAUUGUUCUACCAUGUGUUUUUUUUCUACUAGCAUCCCAUCCACAAUGUCAGUUGGAAUUAUAUAUAUAUAUCUUAGACAGUUAGUGAGAUGUAUUCUGCGAGAUGUGUUCAAAUCUCUGUAUUUUUCCAUGAUAUUAACAAUUUUUCUUUGAAUGUUUAAAUGAACGUUCUCUAAAAUUUCAUUUUCAGUUAAGUCUGGUCUUUCUUUGGGUAAUUUAUAUAGUAAGGUCUGCAAGAAUUGAAUGCAGAUCCACUAUUCCCCCCCUUUGUAUUUACUGCAAUGCAUAUUUACCUGGAGCUAGCAUCACAUACUGUAUGUCAAGUGCCAAGUCAGUUUUCACUAAAUACAAAUUAAAAUAUAUAUAUAUGAACCUUUUCAUUAGCUUUGGCUGCACGUUUCUGGAUAAUGUCAAUAUCAAUAUUUGUAAGUACUCUUAUGAACUCAAAUGAUGCAUCUCCCACUUUUUUUUAUCUGCAAGGUACCUGACAUAGUGUUUGGACAGACUUAUUUCUGGUAGUAACUUCUCCAUUGUGAAACUACUUUUCACUACAGUAGCUUGCGGACAAUGUGGGCUACUACAAGACCGAGACCUGCAUUAAAAGAUGAUUACAUUUAGGAGUGAAUGGUGAAGAAAAUCACCAAAAUGGAAGGAGUUCUGUAUUAUGAUCUAUUACAAUGUGCUUGAAGCAAUACAGAACCAUGAUUAUACUUGGUAUAGUACAAACUAAAUGUACAAUACAGACUUCCAAAUUGAAUCUUUGGCCUACAGCUCACCUGUUAUCUGUCACUUUAGCAGUUACUUGGGUGGGACAACCAAUGUAUAGAUAAGAAAUGCCGAAACGAAGAUAAUCACCCCUACUAAGGUCACAUAUUUGUUCGGUGAGAACUCUGAGAAUAGGGUCUUCUUCCCUUUCUUCUUAAAACUAGACCAAGCCUUAUCCCAGUCGGUUGAUGAUGUAUCACCUGAAAAGUUAGAUAAGAGAAAUGAUUCAACCUGCAAACAUGUUUUCAUCGUAACCUGUUAUAACAAACUAUGUGCGACGGGACCUUUUUAAUCUAACUUCAAAAAGGAACUUCACAAUCCACCACUCAUUAUCCAUCAAAUUAGCACGGAUUGACUUUGUCGUUUGAGGCAGGCCCUAUUAUUUUCGCCCUGAAUUCGCAGCGACAACCUGCGUGGGGAUCGAACUCACGUCCUCCCACUAAGACUGUAAGACCGAGACCAAUUGAGCUGCUAUCCUGGAAUAUUCAUUUUUACUGAAGUCUAAGAAUAUUACUCCCCCCAUUCCAUAAUAUAAGAGUGUUUUUGACACUACACUAUUUGUGGUUGUGCUAGACUAUAAAGAACUAGAAUUGUAUUUAUUUAUUUUGUCUCCAUUGCAAGGUUGUUGGCACAUGUUUCUAUAAAUAGUGUGGAUGCAACUUAUACAUGGUUCAUCUUUCAUGUAAACGAUUUUUGACUCUCGGCAUGGAGCCAAAUUAUGCAGAACUUGAAAACGAACCUUUAAGUAAGUUUACAAAAUUUCUGCAAAAAAUAAUCACG